AAGUCGUAACAAGGUUUCCGUAGGUGAACCUGCGGAAGGAUCAUUAGAAAUCACCGGCCUAGCCGGUAUAAAAUUCUAUCCACCUUCUGUGCAAUCAAUGGAAAAAAGAGAGAAAAUUGGAUACUUUUUGUAUCCAACCUCUCUAAAAAACUUUAUAAACUCCAUCAAAUUUUGAAUAAAACUAAUAUUUUAAUAAAAUAUAUUAUACAACUUUCAACAACGGAUCUCUUGGCUCUC
rnacentral:misc_RNA from 1 species